rnacentral:rRNA from 1 species
AGAGUUUGAUCCUGGCUCAGAACGAACGCUGGCGGCAGGCUUAACACAUGCAAGUCGAGCGCCUCGCAAGAGGAGCGGCAGACGGGUGAGUAACGCGUGGGAAUCUACCCAUCUCUACGGAACAACUCCGGGAAACUGGAGCUAAUACCGUAUACGUCCUUCGGGAGAAAGAUUUAUCGGAGAUGGAUGAGCCCGCGUUGGAUUAGCUAGUUGGUGGGGUAAUGGCCUACCAAGGCGACGAUCCAUAGCUGGUCUGAGAGGAUGAUCAGCCACACUGGGACUGAGACACGGCCCAGACUCCUACGGGAGGCAGCAGUGGGGAAUAUUGGACAAUGGGCGAAAGCCUGAUCCAGCCAUGCCGCGUGAGUGAUGAAGGCCCUAGGGUUGUAAAGCUCUUUCAACGGU